rnacentral:rRNA from 1 species
CACUCUACGGGAGGCAGCAGUGGGGAAUAUUGGACAAUGGGCGCAAGCCUGAUCCAGCCAUGCCGCGUGAGUGAUGAAGGCCCUAGGGUUGUAAAGCUCUUUCACCGGUGAAGAUAAUGACGGUAACCGGAGAAGAAGCCCCGGCUAACUUCGUGCCAGCAGCCGCGGUAAUACGAAGGGGGCUAGCGUUGUUCGGAUUUACUGGGCGUAAAGCGCACGUAGGCGGACUAUCAAGUCAGGGGUGAAAUCCCGGGGCUCAACCCCGGAACUGCCUUUGAUACUGGUAGUCUUGAGUUCGAGAGAGGUGAGUGGAAUUCCGAGUGUAGAGGUGAAAUUCGUAGAUAUUCGGAGGAACACCAGUGGCGAAGGCGGCUCACUGGCUCGAUACUGACGCUGAGGUGCGAAAGCGUGGGGAGCAAACAGGAUUAGAUACCCCAGUAGUCCCAUGA